UUAGAGUAAACAGCCGAAAUCUAGAAGCCGAUCCAGAGUAAAACAAACUUACGAGUGACAAUCACUUAUCUACUUACUCCCAGGAAUAACGAUCACUGUGCGGCGACUUUGUGAUAUAAAUCACAGGUGUGUGUCGAGAUCGCUAUGUAUAUCAUCGGAUAUUACACGAGCACGGAUUAAUACAACCGUCGUGACUGUAUCUCUCGACAGGCGACACGGCGCACUCAAGUCCGAUGGUGGCGGUGUAACAGGCAAAUCAUACCCCCGGAAAAUAUUACCGAUGGGGAAGUACAUACCAUUGUCUUU